rnacentral:lncRNA from 1 species
CUCUGGAAUUCCCCUGGAAUUCUGGAAUCCCUCUGGAAUUCUGGGAAUCCCUCUGGAAUUCCUGGAUAAUCCCCCUGGAGAAUCCCUCUGGAAUUCUGGGAAUUCCCCUGGAAUUUCCCUGGAAUUCUGGGAUCCCUCUGGAAUUCUGGGAAUUCCCCUGGAAUUCCGGGAAUCCCCUGGAAUUCUGGGAAUCCCCCUGGAAUUCUGGGAAUCCCUCUGGAAUUCUGGAAUCACUCUGGAAUUCCUGGAUAAUCCCUCUGGAAUUCUGGGAAUCCCCCUGGAAUUCUGGGAUCCCCCUGGAAUUCCGGGAAUCCCCUGGAAUUCUGGAAUCCCCCUGGAAUCCCCCUGGAAUUCUGGGAUCCCUCUGGAAUUCUGGGAUCCCCCUGGAAUUCUGGGAUCCCCCUGGAAUUCUGGGAUCCCCUGGAAUCCCUCUGGAAUUCUGGGAUCCCUCUGGAAUUCCGGGAAUCCCCUGGACCACUCACCGCCAGCCCCGUUGCCGUGGCCACGCGCUCGGCGCCGUUUCCCAGCGGGAAUUUCUUCUCCUUGUAGGGAAUUUCCGAAUCCAACUUUUCCAGGAGCAGCUCCAGGAUUUGGGAAUUCAGCGCCGGCUCCGACCCCAGCGCCCUCCACAUGGAGCAGGUGGAGCUGCAAAAUUCCCGGGAAUUGCCCGGAAUUCCGGGGAAA